rnacentral:tRNA from 1 species
CUGGAUAAACGGGCCUCGAUCCCGUAAUAACUUAGUUAACAGCUAAACACCCUAACCAGCGGGCUUCUAUCCGAUUUCGCCCGUAAGAAAAAACGGGCGA